rnacentral:rRNA from 1 species
AACGAACGCUGGCGGCAGGCCUAACACAUGCAAGUCGAACGCCGUAGCAAUACGGAGUGGCAGACGGGUGAGUAACACGUGGGAACAUACCCUUCGGUUCGGAAUAACUCAGGGAAACUUGAGCUAAUACCGGAUACGUCCGCGAGGAGAAAGAUUCAUCGCCGGAGGAUUGGCCCGCGUCUGAUUAGCUUGUUGGUGAGGUAACGGCUCACCAAGGCGACGAUCAGUAGCUGGUCUGAGAGGAUGAUCAGCCACAUUGGGACUGAGACACGGCCCAAACUCCUACGGGAGGCAGCAGUGGGGAAUAUUGGACAAUGGGCGCAAGCCUGAUCCAGCCAUGCCGCGUGAGUGAUGAAGGCCCUAGGGUUGUAAAGCUCUUUUACCCGGGAAGAUAAUGACUGUACCGGGAGAAUAAGCCCCGGCU